CAGUUUGAGAGAAACGAUCUAUGGCUUCUACUCGCAAUCUUUAUGCAAGAAUUGGUGAGGGACAAUCAACCACGAGGCCACCACUCUUUGAUGGCACAAAUUACACCUAUUUGAAGGAGCGGAUGAGAAUCUUCAUCCAAUCCAACAACUUUCUAUAGUGGCAAAUCAUCAAAAAUGGUGAAUAAUUGCCCACUAAGAAAGUCGAGGAUAAAGUCGUCCUAAAGACGGAGAACGAAUAUGAUGCGGAGGACAUCAAAAAGGUGGAGAACAAUGCUAAGGCCAUCAACAUGCUGUACUGUUCGGUAAACCCCGAUGAUUAUCGGAAGAUUUCAUGUUGCGGCACGGCCAAGCAAAUGUGGGAGAAGCUAGAGGUCACCUACGAAGGUACGGACCAAGUCUGAGAGGCUAAAAUUGAUUUUCUAACCCAUGAAUAUGAAUUAUUUCGUAUGAAGGAGAACGAGAAAAUCAACGACAUGUUUGAACGAUUUUCAAAAAUUGUCAAUGACCUCCACGCACUCAAGAAGACGUACACGGACAAGGAGCUUGUACGAAAAAUCCUGCGGAGCCUCACUCCGGAGUGGCGUUCCAAAGCCGAUGCCAUUCAAUCGACGAAAUGUUUGAGCGAUUUUCAAAAAUCGUCAACGACCUCCACGCACUCAAGAAGACAUACACGGACAAGGAGCUUGUACGAAAAAUCCUGCGGAGCCUCACCCCGGAGUGGCGUUUUAAAGCCGAUGUCAUUCAAGAGUCAAUUGGCAUCACCAACGUCACUAUAGACGGACUCCGGGGGAAUCUAAAGACNNN
rnacentral:lncRNA from 1 species